UGGGGAAUUUUGGACAAUGGGCGAAAGCCUGAUCCAGCAAUGCCGCGUGUGUGAAGAAGGCCUUCGGGUUGUAAAGCACUUUUGUCCGGAAAGAAAUCCUUGGCUCUAAUACAGUCGGGGGAUGACGGUACCGGAAGAAUAAGCACCGGCUAACUACGUGCCAGCAGCCGCGGUAAUACGUAGGGUGCAAGCGUUAAUCGGAAUUACUGGGCGUAAAGCGUGCGCAGGCGGUUUGCUAAGACCGAUGUGAAAAUCCCCGGGCUCAACCUGGGAACUGCAUUGGUGACUGGCAGGCUAGAGUAUGGCAGAGGGGGGUAGAAUUCCACGUGUAGCAGUGAAAAUGCGUAGAGAUGUGGAGGAAUACCGAUGGCGAAGGCGGCCCCCUGGGCCAAUACUGACGCUCAUGCACGAAAAGCGUGGGGAGCAAACAGGAUUAGAUACCCUGGUAGUCCACGCCCUAAAACGAUGUCAACUAGUUGUUGGGGAUUCAUUUCCUUAGUAACGUAGCU
rnacentral:rRNA from 1 species